rnacentral:snoRNA from 1 species
AGGCCGUGAUGUGGACACUUGCGUAAUAACUCCUUGAACCUUUCCCAAGUUUCAUAUAAGGAUUCCCCGUCCUCUUGUGAAGGUGAACUUGCGCUUUUGGGUUU